UACGUAGGCAGCAAGCGUUUGUUCGGAAUUACUGGGCGUAAAGAGUGUGUAGGCGGUGCUCUAAGUUCGGUGUGAAAUCUCCUGCUUAACUGGGAGGGUGCGCCGAAAACUGGAGUGCUCGAGCGUGGGAGAGGAAAGCGGAAUUCCUGGUGUAGCGGUGAAAUGCGUAGAUAUCAGGAGGAACACCUGUGGUGUAGACAGCUUUUCUGGACCAUUGCUGACGCUGAUGCGCGAAAGCUAGGGGGAGC
rnacentral:rRNA from 1 species